rnacentral:rRNA from 1 species
AGUGAACGCUGGCGGUAGGCCUAACACAUGCAAGUCGAACGGCAGCACAGUAAGAGCUUGCUCUUACGGGUGGCGAGUGGCGGACGGGUGAGGAAUACAUCGGAAUCUACUUUUUCGUGGGGGAUAACGUAGGGAAACUUACGCUAAUACCGCAUACGACCUACGGGUGAAAGCAGGGGAUCUUCGGACCUUGCGCGAUUGAAUGAGCCGAUGUCGGAUUAGCUAGUUGGCGGGGUAAAGGCCCACCAAGGCGACGAUCCGUAGCUGGUCUGAGAGGAUGAUUAGCCACACUGGAACUGAGACACGGUCCAGACUCCUACGGGAGGCAGCAGUGGGGAAUAUUGGACAAUGGGCGCAAGCCUGAUCCAGCCAUACCGCGUGGGUGAAGAAGGCCUUCGGGUUGUAAAGCCCUUUUGUUGGGAAAGAAAAGCAGCAGGUUAAUACCCCGCUGUUCUGACGGUACCCAAAGAAUAAGCACCGGCUAACUUCG